UGCAUAGAUUUAGCAUGGCCAGGUCUGAAUCUUAGACCUGCAUGCCUUUGGUGUGAUAGAAAUUGAUCAGAAUCUCAGUGCUUUUCAGUCUUCAAAGGCCACAAAUUCAGAACAUCUGCAGGCCAGGACAAAUCCUACCUGCAACUGCGAGUGCCUGGGUACACGGGAAACUGGAGGCCACACAGCUCGGAAACUUCCAGUGUCAUUCAUAAUUGCAAGCUGUACCCCCGACAAGCAGACAAAACUUGAAGGCGAAGGUAAAAGGAGCCCCAAAGGUAAGAAAGCGAGUACGUGGACCAUGACUCACUACUGGCUGAAAUUUCGCAAGACUUGGACAAGUACUCGACUGUUUAAGAACCACAAACUAUUAAUUGCCAAUAGUCGUCGUCGCUGCAUGGACAGUGACCAUUGGACUCGAAAAAGCUACAACUACAAGCUACAUUUCUGCAGUCCUGGGUGAGCUGCCUAUGAUCCAUAAGUUUCAGAGACAUCUCAUUUCGUUCCGCACACUACCGCUAGCUCAUUCCCUUGUGCUAGCUGCCGCCUUAUCCUCCUGACGACGAGUGAGUCCUCAAAUGGAGAUUUUACUCUCUGCAGUCCUGGGUGAGCUGGCUACCAAGUCCAUCAGUUUCUUCAUCACUGCUGGCAAGUGAGGCAUGAUGAAAAGGCAUGGUUGGCUCUCGCUUCCCAACCUCGCCAAGAUGCAAAUCUGGCCGCGCCGAAAGUGUAUGAGCUAGAUGAAAUGAAAUAUAAUGCGUGUGAAACUAGCUUUUUGGUAACAAAUACAACUGCAGAGCACUACGAACGUACAUGCUUCCAUGCUUGGUCCUUCAACCCUUAUAUAUAGCUGGACUGGAACGCUGCCAUGCUCUGCGCCUCGGCCAGUGCCUGCCUGUGACCACCUUGACUGACCAAGAGGUAGACUGGGAGGGACUCGCCUACAUGGAGAACCUGAGAUUCUACCUGUGGUCGGUGGUGGAAUGUCCUGAUGGAGAGAAUGUAGAAUGGGCAGAGAGCAAAGUCAUUGAGCUUAGGGCAUUACUUGCUGAUAUGAUGAUGCCCUCUCAGACUCACUUGACGAUGUACCUGGCUUUGCGGACAGAUGGGGCGCUUUUCACUAUUGAUCUGCAUGGAGUCCUACCGUGUCACAAGACUUUACGGAGAAGGUCGUUGCUACUACGGCAAUUUCCCCUACGUGAGAGCUUCUGCACUCCAGGUAGGAUAAGAUACUCAUUCAUCCCGUCUGUUUUAUUUAGUACGUACUGUUCUGCUUAUUACUGAUUUUGCUACAUUAAGAUUGAGUACUAACUACUUCAGUAUGUGUUUCUUUGAUGUGCACCACCCUUGUUCGGACCCUGCCUUCGCCCCUGUUCUCAGCUGCAGGUUUCUCGGUCAAGGUUGAGCUGGAUCAUGGUAGUGGUUAAUAAUGUAAUAAGCAUUAUGUUUGUGCGAGGGAUGAUCUCCUAUGUUUGUUAUCUUGAUAAUCUCUGUAAAUUAUAAAGUUUGCUUGGGCUUCUCUGUCAAGCUGAUUGCCUGUAUCUAUCAACUCUAUGUGUAUUACUGAACAUUAGCUUGCAAUGAAA